rnacentral:rRNA from 1 species
CCUACGGGUGGCUGCAGUCGAGAAUCUUUCACAAUGGGGGCAACCCUGAUGGAGCGACGCCGCGUGGAGGAUAAGGUCUUCGGAUUGUAAACUCCUGUCAUGCGAGAACAAGGUUGCAGGGCUAACACCUUUGCAAAUUGAUGGUACCGCAAGAGGAAGAGACGGCUAACUCUGUGCCAGCAGCCGCGGUAAUACAGAGGUCGCAAGCGUUGUUCGGAAGCGUUGGGAGGUGAGGUGGCAAGUCAGACGUGAAAGCCCGGGGCUCAACCUCGGAAUUGCAUCCGAUACUGCCAUGCUGGAGUACUGAAGAGGUGACUAGAAUUCUAGGUGUAGCAGUGAAAUGCGUAGAUAUCUAGAGGAAUACCAACGGCGAAGGCAGGUCACUGGGCAGUUACUGACACUGAGGCACAAAGGCCAGGGGAGCAAACGGGAUUAGAUACCCUUGUAGUC